rnacentral:sRNA from 1 species
UCGACUAAGGUUCGAUUCGAGCGAAAGCGAGAAAGCGUUGCCGCAGGCAACGACCCGAAGGGCGAAGCGCGCAGCGCUGAGUCAUCCUUCCCCCACCACCA